rfam:Egretta garzetta contig51947, whole genome shotgun sequence.
CCAAAGGCUCUUUUAAGAGCCACCCACAUAUUCCUCGAAAGAGCUU